rnacentral:rRNA from 1 species
UACGUAGGGAGCAAGCGUUGUUCGGAUUUACUGGGCGUACAGGGAGCGUAGGCGGUUGGAUAAGCCCUCCGUGAAAUCUCCAGGCUUAACCUGGAAAGUGCAGAGGGGACUGUUCAGCUAGAGGAUGGGAGAGGAGCGCGGAAUUCCCGGUGUAGCGGUGAAAUGCGUAGAGAUCGGGAGGAAGGCCGGUGGCGAAGGCGGCGCUCUGGAACAUUUCUGACGCUGAGGCUCGAAAGCGUGGGGAGCAAACAGG